rnacentral:rRNA from 1 species
CGUUACUCGGAUUCAUUGGGUGUAAAGGGCAGGUAGGCGGCUAUGUAAGUUGGAGGUGAAAUCCUAAGGCUCAACCUUAGAACUGCCUUCAAGACUGCAUGGCUUGAGGAUAGAAGGGGAGAGUGGAAUUCCCAGUGUAAGGGUGAAAUCUGUAGAUAUCGGGAGGAACACCAGUGGCGAAGGCGGCUCUCUGGUCUAUCCCUGACGCUAAGCUGCGAAAGCUAGGGGAGCAAACAGGAUUAGAUACCCUGGUAGUCCUAGCCGUAAACGAUGAGCACUAGGUGUUGGGGGGGUAACUCUCAGCGCCGUAAGGUAACCCGUUAAGUGCUCCAC